AGGGGAUAUAGCUCAGGGGUAGAGCGCUCCCUUAGCAUGGGAGAGGGCUGGGGUUCGAUUCCCCAUAUCUCCA
rnacentral:tRNA from 1 species